rnacentral:lncRNA from 1 species
UUAGUUCAAACAAGCCCAGGCUAGACAAACCAUCGCAUUCAUAGCCCAUAACAGGGAUGUCUUUGUUUUCAAUUUUUUCAUCCAGGUGACCACUGCCAGAAAAAUCUAGUAGCUGGAGAAACUUUGAAUGAGAAUGCAUAUACAAGGCAGUUGACAGUUAAACCUCUAUAGUGUUUUCACAAAAUCUCCAGGUCUAUGGGAGAGAUGUAUAGGAAUUAAUCUCCAUAUUUUUUGAAGGGCCUAUAGUGUUUUCAUAAAAUCUCCAGGUCUAGGGGAGAGGAGUAUAGGAGAAAUUAAUCUCCAUAUUUUUGAAGGGUAAUAUAGGAGAUUAUGAUUUGAAGCAUUUUAAUCACAUGUAAGUACAUUGGAUCACUGGCAGUGUAUCUCAUCAUAUUCCCCACAGUUUAACAUGAUUUAAUUAGUUUUGGAAAGUAUCUUAAUUAUGAUGUUUCAGUUCUGAG